rnacentral:lncRNA from 1 species
UUUUUAUCAUGUACGAAUUAUAGAAAAGUAAGUGUGUUAGUGUUCCAUUUUUGUCUAUUAUCUCUUUCAUUCUAUUUACUUGCACAUAAAAUUGAAAACUUUUUUGUUUACAGAGGAAUGCUUGUCAAUUUUUUGGUUGGUACGAUCCUCCAAUGUGUGACAGAUCAAGGCAAAUAAUACCUGGAUUACUUUGAAAGAUUAAUGGAAUGGAGAAAGAGAUGGAGAACAUGCGUGCAAUAGGCAACAAAGGAAGAACAAAAUUAAUUAUUGCACUUGUUCUUGGUUAUUAAUUUUAAUCAUGUUAUUGUAGAUGGAGUAAAUAUUGUCAUUUGGGUUGAUUAAACUUUGGUGUUAGUUUGUUGUAACAUUGUCCAAGAAGGACAUGUAAUCAUGGUAUGCUUUAUGACAUUUGAAAAACGGAUUGAUGUCUCUAUUGAUGGUAUGUUCUUUGUG